rnacentral:rRNA from 1 species
CCUACGGGAGGCAGCAGUCGAGAAUCAUUCACAAUGGGGGAAACCCUGAUGGUGCGACGCCGCGUGGGGGAAUGAAGGUCUUCGGAUUGUAAACCCCUGUCAUGUGGGAGCAAAUUAAAAAGAUAGUACCACAAGAGGAAGAGACGGCUAACUCUGUGCCAGCAGCCGCGGUAAUACAGAGGUCUCAAGCGUUGUUCGGAAUCACUGGGCGUAAAGCGUGCGUAGGCUGUUUCGUAAGUCGUGUGUGAAAGGCGCGGGCUCAACCCGCGGACGGCACAUGAUACUGCGAGACUAGAGUAAGGGAGGCGGAACCGGAAUGCUCGGUGUAGCAGUGAAAUGCGUAGAUAUCGAGAGGAACACUCGUGGCGAAGGCGGGUUCCUGGACAUUAACUGACGCUGAGGCACGAAGGCCAGGGGAGCGAAAGGGAUUAGAUACCCGGGUAGUC